AUAGUUUACCAUCUGAUCUAGUCAGAAUACAGGAAGGUUAUAUAGUUUACCAUCUGAUCUAGUCAGAAUACAGGAAGGUUAUAUAGUUUAACAUCUGAUCUAGUCAGAAUACAGGAAGGUUAUAUAGUUUAACAUCUGAUCUAGUCAGAAUACAGAAGGUUAUAUAGUUUAACACAUCUGAUCUAGUCAGAAUACAGGAAGUUAUAUAGUUUAACACCAUCUAGUCAGAAUACAGGAAGGUUAUAUAGUAAAAUCUGAUCUAGUCAGAAUACAGGAAGGUUAUAUAGUUUAACAUCUGAUCUAGUCAGAAUACAGGAAGGUUAUAUAGUUUAACAUCUGAUCUAGUCAGAAUACAGGAAGGUUAUAUAGUUUAACACCAUUCUAGUCA